UCCUGGAAGCGCUACUGGAUUGUCCUGUCUGGCUCCAUUCUCAUCUAUUUUGGUUCUAAAGCUCUAAGAGCAAAUGAGCGAAGACAUUAUAAAUCCAGGCCAUGUAAAAAGAUCACACUCACAGGUUGGAUGGUGGUUCUGCCAGAAAACCCUGAACAUCCAAAUAUUUUCCAGCUUACUGAUCCUGAAAGAGGUAAUGUUUACAAGUUCCAGACUGGAUCACGUUUCUCUGCGAUUAUCUGGCACAGACAUUUAGCCGAGGCGUGCAGGAGUACAAGACCACAGAUACCAGCAAACCUCAUGUCCUUUGAAUAGCUGUUUUUUGGGAAGUGGAAUACAGAUGAAGAGAAUAAACCUCAUGGAGAAAGACAUUGCAGAAGAGUUUAUGCGAGGGGGCAGCAUGUUGGACCUAACAUAGUUGGAAAUGUGGCAGCUGUAUCUGUUGAAAAAGUCCAAAAUUCUUUCAGACAUUGCUGACACAGCUGUACUGAGAGAGGAUGGUCUUGUGUCUUCAGUUUAGUGGUAACACUUUACAAUAAGGUUCAAUUUGUUAACAUGAGAUAAAGGAAUAGUUCACUC